UAUAACGGGGCUAAAGUAAGUACCGAAGCUGUAGACUUAGUUUACUAAGUGGUAGGAGAGCGUUCUAUUUGCGUCGAAGGUAUACCGGUAAGGAGUGCUGGAGCGAAUAGAAGUGAGCAUGCAGGCAUGAGUAGCGAUAAUUAAUGUGAGAAUCAUUAACGCCGUAAACCCAAGGUUUCCUACGCGAUGCUCGUCAUCGUAGGGUUAGUCGGGUCCUAAGUCGAGUCCGAAAGGGGUAGACGAUGGCAAAUUGGUUAAUAUUCCAAUACCAACAUUAGUGUGCGAUGGAAGGACGCUUAGGGCUAAGGGGGCUAGCGGAUGGAAGUGCUAGUCUAAGGUCGUAGGAGGUUAUACAGGCAAAUCCGUAUAACAAUACUCCGAGAACUGAAAGGCUUUUUGAAGUCUUCGGAUGGAUAGAAGAACCCCUGAUGCCGUCGAGCCAAGAAAAGUUUCUAAGUUUAGCUAAUGUUGCCCGUACCGUAAACCGACACAGGUGGGUGGGAUGAGUAUUCUAAGGCGCGUGGAAGAACUCUCUUUAAGGAACUCUGCAAAAUAGCACCGUAUCUUCGGUAUAAGGUGUGGUUAGCUUUGUAUUAGGAUUUACUCCGAAAGCAAGGAAACUUACAACAAAGAGUCCCUCCCGACUGUUUACCAAAAACACAGCACUCUGCUAACUCGUAAGAGGAUGUAUAGGGUGUGACGCCUGCCCGGUGCUCGAAGGUUAAUUGAUGGGGUUAGCAUUAGCGAAGCUCUUGAUCGAAGCCCGAGUAAACGGCGGCCGUAACUAUAACGGUCCUAAGGUAGCGAAAUUCCUUGUCGGUUAAAUACCGACCUGCAUGAAUGGCGUAACGAGAUGGGAGCUGUCUCAAAGAGGGAUCCAGUGAAAUUGUAGUGGAGGUGAAAAUUCCUCCUACCCGCGGCAAGACGGAAAGACCCCGUGGACCUUUACUACAGCUUGACACUGCUACUUGGAUAAGAAUGUGCAGGAUAGGUGGGAGGCUUUGAGUAUAUGACGCCAGUUGUAUAUGAGCCAUUGUUGAGAUACCACUCUUUCUUAUUUGGGUAGCUAACCAGCUUGAGUUAUCCUCAAGUGGGACAAUGUCUGGUGGGUAGUUUGACUGGGGCGGUCGCCUCCCAAAUAAUAACGGAGGCUUACAAAGGUUGGCUCAGAACGGUUGGAAAUCGUUCGUAGAGUAUAAAGGUAUAAGCCAGCUUAACUGCAAGACAUACAAGUCAAGCAGAGACGAAAGUCGGUCUUAGUGAUCCGGUGGUUCUGUGUGGAAGGGCCAUCGCUCAAAGGAUAAAAGGUACCCCGGGGAUAACAGGCUGAUCUCCCCCAAGAGCUCACAUCGACGGGGAGGUUUGGCACCUCGAUGUCGGCUCAUCGCAUCCUGGGGCUGGAGCAGGUCCCAAGGGUAUGGCUGUUCGCCAUUUAAAGCGGUACGCGAGCUGGGUUCAGAACGUCGUGAGACAGUUCGGUCCCUAUCUGCCGUGGGCGUAAGAAGAUUGAAGAGAUUUGACCCUAGUACGAGAGGACCGGGUUGAACAAACCACUGGUGUAGCUGUUGUUCUGCCAAGAGCAUCGCAGCGUAGCUAAGUUUGGAAAGGAUAAACGCUGAAAGCAUCUAAGCGUGAAGCCAACUCUAAGAUGAAUCUUCUCUAAGCUCUCUAGAAGACUACUAGUUUGAUAGGCUGGGUGUGUAAUGGAUGAAAGUCCUUUAGCUGACCAGUACUAAUAGAGCGUUUGGCUUAUCUUUAAUAAAGCAU
rnacentral:rRNA from 1 species